GACAGAGGGUGCGAACGUUGUUCGGAAUUACUGGGCGUAAAGCGCACGUAGGCGGAUCGUUAAGUCAGGGGUGAAAUCCUGGAGCCUCAACUCCAGAACUGCCUUUGAUACUGGCGACCUUGAGUUCGGGAGAGGUGAGUGGAACUGCGAGUGUAGAGGUGAAAUUCGUAGAUAUUCGCAAGAACACCAGUGGCGAAGGCGGCUCACUGGCCCGAUACUGACGCUGAGGUGCGAAAGCGUGGGAGCAAACAGG
rnacentral:rRNA from 1 species